rnacentral:rRNA from 1 species
GAUGAACGCUAGCGGCAGGCCUAAUACAUGCAAGUCGAGGGAGAAUGUUGGAUUCGUCUGACAUGAAACCGGCGCACGGGUGCGUAACACGUAUGCAAUCUACCUUUAACUGGGGUAUAGCUCAGAGAAAUCUGAAUUAAUCCCCCAUAAGACUACGACAUGGCAUCAUGAUGUAGUUAAAGCUCCGGCGGUUAAGGAUGGGCAUGCGGUACGUUAGCUAGUUGGUGAGGUAAUGGCUCACCAAGGCUACGAUGUAUAGGGGGUCUGAGAGGAGGAUCCCCCACACUGGUACUGAGAAACGGACCAGACUCCUACGGGGGGCAGCAGUAGGGAAUAUUGGUCAAUGGACGAAAGUCUGAACCAGCCAUGCCGCGUGAAGGAUGAAGGCCCUAUGGGUCGUAAACUUCUUUUAUUAGGGAAGAAAAAACGGGAUGCGUCCUGUACUGACGGUACUUAAUGAAUAAGGAUCGGCUAACUUCGUGCCAGCCGCCGCAGUAA